rnacentral:rRNA from 1 species
GAUGAACGCUGACAGAAUGCUUAACACAUGCAAGUCGAUGGGGAAGUGGUGCUUGCACCAUGGUAACCAUGGCGGACGGGUGAGUAACGCGUAAGGAACUUGCCUGCGGGACCGGGAUAACAGCAGGAAACUGCUGACAAGACCGGAUAAGGUCAUGAAGCUGCAUAGCUUAGUGAUGAAAGGAGACGCCUGCGGAGAGCCUUGCGUCCUAUUAGCUAGUUGGAGGGGUAACGGCCCACCAAGGCGAAGAUAGGUAGCCGGCCUGAGAGGGUGGACGGCCACAAGGGGACUGAGAUACGGCCCUUACUCCUACGGGAGGCAGCAGUGGGGAAUAUUGGACAAUGGGGGCAACCCUGAUCCAGCAAUUCUGUGUGCACGAAGACGGUUUUCGGAUUGUAAAGUGCUUUCAGCAGGGAAGAAGGAAGUGACG